GAGUCUACUGAGAAACUAACCAAGUAUAAAGCCAGUCUUUGAAAUGAAAAGAGGGAAUAAGAAUUUGGAGCCAGGUCUGGACAGUCUGAUUAAAAAGGAAUGGAACCAACAUGAAUGGUCUUAUUGCUGUUGCUCCUCAGGUUUGCAACAAGUAAAGAGAAAAAUCUCCAGGGAAAUCUUGCCUAGACUAGACUCCUUCUACAAAGAGAUUUCCCUCGAGCCAUCCAAGCCCAGAAUGGCUGCAGCAUCCAACAGACUUAUAGCCCUGGAUCCUUACAUCUCAGAGGAACAGAAGAGAAUUCUAAAAAUGAUGUUAAAAUCUUAUUUAUUUUAUGACUUCACUUGAGGAACUUUUAAAGUUUUUGCAAAAAUAAUCCAAUACAACUAAAAUCAGUAAGGAAACAAUAAACUAGAGGGGGAAAAUCUUGGUAGCA
rnacentral:lncRNA from 1 species